UGUGGGUUGUGAAUAACAAUUCGUGCCGUCGCAAACGCAAUAAGUACCCCGCCUGAGGAGUACGAUCGCAAGAUUAAAACUCAAAGGAAUUGACGGGGACCCGCACAAGCAGCGGAGCAUGUGGUUUAAUUCGAAGCAACGCGAAGAACCUUACCUAAACUUGACAUACCUUGAAUUACCUUGUAAUGAGGGAAGCUCGCAAGAGCAAGGAUACAGGUGGUGCAUGGUUGUCGUCAGCUCGUGUCGUGAGAUGUUGGGUUAAGUCCCGCAACGAGCGCAACCCUUGUUGUUAAUUGCUAACAGGUUAAGCUGAGCACUUUAGCGAGACAGCCUAGGUUAACUAGGAGGAAGGUGGGGAUGACGUCAAAUCAUCAUGCCCCUUACGUUUAGGGCUACACACGUGCUACAAUGGUGAGAACAGAGAGAAGCAAGCUAGUGAUAGUGAGCAAAACUUAUAAAACUCAUCUCAGUUCGGAUUGCAGGCUGAAACUCGCCUGUAUGAAGAUGGAGUUGCUAGUAAUCGCGAAUCAGAAUGUCGCGGUGAAUACGUUCCCGGGUCUUGUACACACCGCCCGUCACACCAUGAGAGUUGGCAACACCCGAAGCCUGGGGCUAACC
rnacentral:rRNA from 1 species